GGCGAGUGGCGAACGGGUGAGUAAUACAUCGGAACGUGUCCUGGAGUGGGGGAUAGCCCGGCGAAAGCCGGAUUAAUACCGCAUACGCUCUGUGGAGGAAAGCGGGGGAUCUUCGGACCUCGCGCUCAAGGGGCGGCCGAUGGCAGAUUAGCUAGUUGGUGGGGUAAAGGCCUACCAAGGCGACGAUCUGUAGCUGGUCUGAGAGGACGACCAGCCACACUGGGACUGAGACACGGCCCAGACUCCUACGGGAGGCAGCAGUGGGGAAUUUUGGACAAUGGGGGCAACCCUGAUCCAGCAAUGCCGCGUGUGUGAAGAAGGCCUUCGGGUUGUAAAGCACUUUUGUCCGGAAAGAAAACCUCUGGGUUAAUACCCUGGGGGGAUGACGGUACCGGAAGAAUAAGCACCGGCUAACUACGUGCCAGCAGCCGCGGUAAUACGUAGGGUGCGAGCGUUAAUCGGAAUUACUGGGCGUAAAGCGUGCGCAGGCGGUUCGCUAAGACCGAUGUGAAAUCCCCGGGCUUAACCUGGGAACUGCAUUGGUGACUGGCGGGCUAGAGUAUGGCAGAGGGGGGUAGAAUUCACGUGUAGCAGUGAAAUGCGUAGAGAUGUGGAGGAAUACCGAUGGCGAAGGCAGCCCCCUGGCCAAUACUGACGCUCAUGCA
rnacentral:rRNA from 1 species